GAAACACGGACUAAGGAGUCUAGCAUGUGCGCGAGUCAUUGGGAAUUACUAAACCUAAAGGCGCAAUGAAAGUGAAGGUUCGCCUUGCGCGAACCAAGGGAAGAUGGGCGUGCCGUGUUUAUCGCGGCCGCUCCGCACUCCCGGGGCGUCUCGUUCUCAUUGCGAGGAGAGGCGCACCAAGAGCGUACACGCUGGGACCCGAAAGAUGGUGAACUAUGCCUGGUCAGGACGAAGUCAGGGGAAACCCUGAUGGAGGUCCGUAGCGAUUCUGACGUGCAAAUCGAUCGUCGGAACUGGGUAUAGGGGCGAAAGACUAAUCGAACCAUCUAGUAGCUGGUUCCCUCCGAAGUUUCCCUCAGGAUAGCUGGCGCUCGUCGCCUACGAGUCUCAUCCGGUAAAGCGAAUGAUUAGAGGCAUUGGGGUCGAAACGGCCUCAACCUAUUCUCAAACUUUAAAUGGGUGAGAUCUCCGGCUUGCUCGAACUACUGAAGCCGCGAGACACGGAUCAGAGUGCCAAGUGGGCCAUUUUUGGUAAGCAGAACUGGCGCUGUGGGAUGAACCAAACGCCGAGUUAAAGCGCCUAAAUCGACGCUUAUGGGAUACCAUGAAAGGCGUUGGUAACUUAAGACAGCAGGACGGUGGCCAUGGAAGUCGGAAUCCG
rnacentral:rRNA from 1 species